GCCUCUAUUGUCUAGUGGUUAGGACGUACCACUCGUAUGCAUUCGUUAUGGUGAGGUCCCCGGUUCAAAUCCGGGUGGAGGCA